GAGCCGUGCGGUGAGUACAGAGCGAACUAUUCUUUCGCCUUUUACUAAAGAAUACCGUGUACUCGCCGUUGACAUCGGCAUACGCCUAUUUUUGGAGGGGGCUUAUUUUAUGGGUCUC
rfam:Cucumis sativus cultivar 9930 chromosome 5, whole genome shotgun sequence.